UUGUUGCCCACCACUGGACCCAUUCCAGCAGCCCCGUGUCUUUUUUGUCCUGGGGAGCCCAGAACUGGACACAGCACUCCAGAUGUGCCUCACCA
rnacentral:miRNA from 12 species